AUAUAUAUAGUGUGUGUGUGUGUGUGUGUGUAUGUAUACACACACACACACACACACACACACACACGGUGAGUCUUU